rnacentral:rRNA from 1 species
UACGUAGGGCGCAAGCGUUAUCCGGAAUUAUUGGGCGUAAAGAGCUCGUAGGCGGUUUGUCGCGUCUGCUGUGAAAGACCGGGGCUCAACUCCGGUUCUGCAGUGGGUACGGGCAGACUAGAGUGCAGUAGGGGGAGACUGGAAUUCUGGUGUAGCGGUGAAAUGCGCAGAUAUCAGGAGGAACACCGAUGGCGAAGGCAGGUCUCUGGGCUGUAACUGACGCUGAGGAGCGAAAGCAUGGGGAGCGAACAGG